CCUGACCCAAACCUUUCUAGCACCCAUCAGUAGGUGCAAAACUUACCGUCACCCAUCAAAAGGUGUACCUUCCUGUAUCCUUCAGUAGAUACCUAAAUCUUCUAGCAUCCCUCAGUAGAUGCUAUCCCAGUAGCAUUCAUCAGUAAACACCGUUAGGGACAUCCAUCAGUAACUGUCUAAGCAUAUCAGUAGAUGUUGUAGAAGUAUCCAUCGGUAGAUGCUAUCAUUACUACCAUCAGAAGCAGCGCAAAACUAAAAAAAAAUAAAAAAUUAAAUUAAAUUAAAUUAAAUAAAAUCAAAUAAAAUAAAAUCAAAUAAAAUAAAAUAAAAUAAAAUAAAAUAAAAUAAAAUAAAAUCAAAACAAAAUAAAAGAUAAAAAAUUCAGAAACUGGGUUGCCUUCCAGCAAGCGCUCUUUUAACGUCAUUAGCUUGACCCGGUAAACCCCAAACACCCAUCAGUAGGUGUUGAUAUUUUCUGUUGGCAUUCUUCCUUCCUCCAUGUCACCAACAACAUCUCGAGACUUUUCUUGUCACCAACUCUAAGGAUCCUCCAUCUUCAGAAUUCUGUUGGCUUUAAAAGUCUUGACAACCCAUAACCUAUUUUUGAAUUUCACUGAUAUGCCAGGUUUAGGUUUGUCACUUUUCACAAUAGGGUGUUGGUGAACCAAUUCUCCUUUCUUAUCUGCCUCCUGAUAAUCUUGUGCUCC
rnacentral:lncRNA from 1 species